rnacentral:lncRNA from 1 species
UAUACAUAAAUCAUGGUAGAUUCAAGGAUAUGAAAAAGAACUUUACUUAGAUACAAUAUAAUAUGUAACAGUAAUUUUAUUUUUGUUGAAUUACCUUCAUCAUUAAAAAUAAUCGUUAUCAGGUGCAUUUAAUAAGAAAUUUAGCACUUCUUCUUGCGGCAGGGUUUUUGAUUUUUUGGGAAUGUAAUUCCUUUCUUUUUGUU